rnacentral:rRNA from 1 species
UUUAACUGAAGAGUUUGAUCAUGGCUCAGAUUGAACGCUGGCGGCAGGCUUAACACAUGCAAGUCGAGCGGGGGAAGGUAGCUUGCUACCGGACCUAGCGGCGGACGGGUGAGUAAUGCUUAGGAAUCUGCCUAUUAGUGGGGGACAACAUCUCGAAAGGGAUGCUAAUACCGCAUACGUCCUACGGGAGAAAGCAGGGGAUCUUCGGACCUUGCGCUAAUAGAUGAGCCUAAGUCGGAUUAGCUAGUUGGUGGGGUAAAGGCCUACCAAGGCGACGAUCUGUAGCGGGUCUGAGAGGAUGAUCCGCCACACUGGGACUGAGACACGGCCCAGACUCCUACGGGAGGCAGCAGUGGGGAAUAUUGGACAAUGGGGGGAACCCUGAU